rnacentral:rRNA from 1 species
CCCUUAGAUGUCCUGGGCCGCACGCGCGUUACACUGAUGCAUUCAACGAGCCUAUAACCUUGGCCGAGAGGCCUGGGCAAUCUUGUUAACGUGCAUCGUGAUAGGGAUAGAUUAUUGAAAUUAUUAAUCUUGAACGAGGAAUUCCUAGUAAACGCAGAUCAUCAAUCUGCAUUGAUUACGUCCCUGCCCUUUGUACACACCGCCCGUCGCACCUACCGAUUGGAUGGUCCGGUGAAGCCUCGGGAUUGUGGUUCUUGCCGCUUUAUUGUGGCGUGACCGCGAGAACUUGUCUAAACCUUAUCAUCUAGAGGAAGGUGAAGUCAUAACA